rnacentral:lncRNA from 1 species
GGCCUUCAGGAAGGGGCUCCUAUGGCUCCCAAGAAGGGAGGUAGCCUCGCGAUUUUCUGAGGCUGCUGAGGACAGAGACUUCAGGUUUCAGUGCCUGGGGCAAGACGAAGUGAACUUCAGAGGACAUCCAACAGAGGACCAGAGGAAAAAGGAAGGAGGACACACCCCUCAGAGAGGAGUCCCAAGCGUGCUGUGCAGUGUCAGCGCAGGUGGACCAGGCUUCUGCGCUCCUGCCCUUCUGGCCUUCUCCUGUCCACAGCUAUCUGAGGACUUGGCACAUAGCUACUUCUCAAAUUGACC